AUGCACGCUGGCGGCGUGCCUAAUACAUGCAAGUCGAGCGAACAGACGAGGAACUUGCUCCUCUGACGUUAGCGGCGGACGGGUGAGUAACACGUGGAUAACCUACCUAUAAGACUGGGAUAACUUCGGGAAACCGGAGCUAAUACCGGAUAAUAUAUUGAACCGCAUGGUUCAAUAGUGAAAGACGGUUUUGCUGUCACUUAUAGAUGGAUCCGCGCCGCAUUAGCUAGUUGGUAAGGUAACGGCUUACCAAGGCAACGAUGCGUAGCCGACCUGAGAGGGUGAUCGGCCACACUGGAACUGAGACACGGUCCAGACUCCUACGGGAGGCAGCAGUAGGGAAUCUUCCGCAAUGGGCGAAAGCCUGACGGAGCAACGCCGCGUGAGUGAUGAAGGUCUUCGGAUCGUAAAACUCUGUUAUUAGGGAAGAAUAAAUGUGUAAGUAACUAUGCACGUCUUGACGGUACCUAAUCAGAAAGCCACGGCUAACUACGUG
rnacentral:rRNA from 1 species